CAGUAGCCGCGGUAAUACGUAGGUGGCGAGCGUUGUCCGGAAUUAUUGGGCGUAAAGGGCUCGCAGGCGGUUUCUUAAGUCUGAUGUGAAAGCCCCCGGCUCAACCGGGGAGGGUCAUUGGAAACUGGGAAACUUGAGUGCAGAAGAGGAGAGUGGAAUUCCACGUGGAGCGGUGAAAUGCGUAGAGAUGUGGAGGAACACCAGUGGCGAAGGCGACUCUCUGGUCUGUAACUGACGCUGAGGAGCGAAAGCGUGGGGAGCGAACAGGAUUAGAUACCCCCGUAGUCCCUGUCUCUUAUAC
rnacentral:rRNA from 1 species